CCCCCCAGCCACCCCCAGCUGGCCCCUGGCCCCGGUCAGGGUGAUUGAGGGCACCAAAGAGAGUGCGUGGGGGGCCCCAGGUGGGUGGCCUUAGUCCAGAUCCUUCCCUCGCUGAGCCUCAGUUCCCUCAUCUGUGAAGCAGUUGUCCACAGCUUCCUCCAGAGUUCACCUCAACACUGCCCGAAAUGAUCCCUGUGAAGCCUCACCACGCGCCCACCUGGCUGUUAGGGUGGAGGGUACAGAGCUUAGGGGAGGGGCAGACCCUGCGGCCCCCAGGUUCCCCUGCCCUCCCCUCAACCUCCCCCACCCCCACUCAGUGGGAAGUUGGUUGGCUCAGGCCUCCCCAGGCUACCAGCCCUACAAGUUAAUGAUCACAGGCCUUAUCAGAGCCUUUUGCCAUUUAUAAAUUUAUAAAACAAAAGAGAAAUAAUAACGCCCGUGGGUAAUUAGUAACCAGGUCCACUCUGCUGAGGAGAGGGGAGGCAUCGGACUCAGACCCACCCAGUUCCCUGAAAGAUGGGGAGCCAGCCAGUGGGUGGGGGUACAGAGCAGGGAGGCCUCUAAUGGUGCCCGCUGGUGGGAGUAGGGGGUGGCCUGAGGCCGUGCCUGAAAGGGGAGCAGCUCCAUCCUGAGGCUCCAUUUCCCUCAGCUUUCUGGUGGGCUGCCUCCUCGGGGCUGAGGUUCUCCAGCUCUUUGAGGAUGGGCGGCGUGAAGUCUUCCCCGUCGUCGUCCGUCUCGUCCUCAGAGCCCCUCGUCUCCCCCAGCCCAUUGGGCAGCUCGGCCAGCUCCCCUCGACCGCCACCGCCGCAGGACUCCCCCUUGUCCAGGGGGCCAUCUCCGGUCAGCAGCAUGUAGGAUCUUAGUUUCCUGACCAGGGAUCGAACCCACGCCCCCUGCAUUGGAAGGGCAGUGUCAACCACUGGACUGCCAGGGAAGUUCCUCUUUUUACUUUUAUAACGGUACAACUGGAAACUUUUGAAUUACAUUUGUGACUCAUGUUAUAUCUCUAUCAGACAGUGCCACUCUGUAAUGUACUUAUGUACGAUGUUUAUUAUUUAUGGUCUCUCUCCCUCUGCUAGAAUGUCAGCUGACCCCGAGGGCAGGGAUUUUGUCUGUCUUGUUCAUUGCUGUAUUCCCAGUGCUUAGAAUGUUGCCUCAUCCAUACUUAGUAGGUGCUCAAUAAAUAUAUGUGGACUGAAUAAAUUUCAUUGCACACCAACCAUGUAUACUUAGCUCUGCACCAAGUUUUAGUAAAAUGUAUGAAAUGCUCAGAACCACUCUAUGAAGUAGGUUACUGUUAUUCCCAUUCUCCAGAGGAGGAAACAGAGGCUCAGAGGGGUUGAAUGGCUUGCUCAGAGUCCCCCAGAGCAGGGUAAUCUGCACAGGAUGAUGCUGGCAGUUGCCCCUUGGGAAGGUGGGCCCCCAUGUUUCUCCCAGUGUCCCCUUUCCUCUAGUGCAAGUAGCUUUGGGGGCAGGCAGCUCACUGCUGGGGGCAGAAUUCUCAAAUCCAGCUAAAAGACGGGGAGGAUGCUGUGUGCUGUCCCUUCGCGGCUUCUGCUUGCUGCCUGCAGCUGCCCCUGGGAGACUUUCAUCUAGAAGAGGGAGCCAGAUAGGGUGCAGCCUGGGUCCUUGGCACAACUUUUGAAUUCAUUAACUGCUGGGUCCCUUGGCAGCUGGGAGGCUGAACUGGUAGCUACAGGACUGAAGGUGGAUUUAGUUGGGAGGGGGAUCCACAGCAGGUGGGAGGGAGAUCCUCAGUGUAUCUAAGGAGAGAGGCCCCCCAGGGCCCUACUUCAGCUCCCAGUAUACACAGAGGCUAUUGUCCUGGGCCCCCUGAGUAGAGCGCCCUCUGAUAAAUGAGAAGGGUGUCAGAUAUUGAUGCUUGGCAAACAGAAAACAGAAAGGGUGGUUCCAGCCCCCAGCCUGCCCUUCCCCACAAUCAGGGGGCACAUCUGAAUGGACUCAGAGGUUGGGAGAGGCAUUUUGCCUUUUUGAGAAUCACACAGGAUCUAGUGUGAAUUUCUAGACCCCACACACACCCCAACCCCCUACUGGGUGGCAUCAGGCAAUAAGUUUGCCUUUCUUGACUUAUUUAUAAAACAGAGGUGUAGAUCUCCCUAGGGUUGCUUAAGACAAUCUUUUACACCUAAUGCAGAGAUUCCAAACUUUCUUGGUCCUUGGCACCCUAGAACCAAGUGUCUCCUAAUAUUGUUUUCAUGACAGCUCCUACCUGCCCUCCAAGCCCCCAGCAAAAAAAAAAAAUAACAGUUCUGUUUAGUAAGUACUUAGGUCGAAACAACUAAUAAGUAUUUAUGUCCAAACAACUUAGUAGCCACUUGAAAAUGCACAUAAAUUGAGAGAAAGGACUUCCUAGGUGGCGUGGUGGUUAAGAAUCUGCCUGCCAAUGAAUGGGACACAGGUUCUAUCCCUGCUCCAGGAAGAUCCCACAUGCCACGGAGCAACUAAGCCCAUUAGCCACAACUAUUGUGUCCAUGUGCCACAACUACUGAAGCUCACAUGCCUAGAGCCCGUGCUCUGCAACAAGAGAAGCCACCGCAAUGAGGAGCCUGUGCACCACAAUGAGGAGUAGCCCCCACUUGCUGCAAGUAGAGAAAGCCCAUGUGCAGCAAUGAAGACCCAACACAGCCAAUAAACAAAUUAAAUAAAUAAAUAAAUAAAUUUACUUUAAAAACUUGAGAGAAAAAUAAUAUUUCAAUUUCUUCUUAACUAAUAUGUAUGUACUAAUAGGGUGAGUGGAUUUGUUGGGCUCUGCACAAGUGUUCAAACUUUGGUACUAGACUGGACAUGACCCCCUUCAUUUCCUGUUCCACAAUCAUUUUUGCAUGACACUUACUUUUUUUUGUCAGAACAACUGCCAUAAACCCAGCUUCUCAAAUUUAUAACAUCAUCUAUCAUUCAAACUGCAAACUACCUUGAGCUGGUUUGCAAGGCGGACGACAGAUUGUCGCUGUGUUCCUUUCAAAAAUCCUCUUAAAAAAAAAAAAAAGAAAAAUCCUCUAAAAUAUUCUGCAGUGCCCAGGGACACCUUGAAGUGCAGCUCAGGAACUGCGGACCUAAGUGAGGGUCUUGGACACAGGGUGUUCAGUAAACCGUAGUUGUGAACUUUAUCACCAUUCUCUCCUACUGAGUGAGCAAAUGUUUGCAAAGCCGAAGUUCUGGCAAGGCAGAAGGCUUCUCCUUGGCUUUAGGAAGCAGCACAAGAGGGGUCCCCUGUCAGCCAAUCUCAGGGCUCUCUUGGAAUUUAAUUACCCACCCUAUCACCCCACCACCCCCACCUCAGGGCCCACCUGUAUUCAUACUUGGACUCUUCUUCCUCCCAGCCCCACUACUUUUUAACCUUUAUUGAGCAGUCGCUGGUAUAUGCAGUUUUUGUGCUUUUUCUCAUUUAACAUCUCAACAGCCUCAUGAGGUAGGUACUUUUAUCCCCAUUUUACAGAUGAGGAAACUGAGGCUGUAGGAGGCAAUGUAACCUGCCCAGCUAGUGCUUGGCAGAGCUAGGAUCUGAACCCAGAUCUCCCUGAUGCCAGAAUCCAAGCCCUUGACCACUA